CCCAUUCGGCCAUUCAUUCAUCUGAAUUCUGAAGCGAAGGAACCCUAGCCCUCUGAACUGAAGCAAAGGAACCCCGAACCCUAGCCCUCAUCGUCGCCGCCGUUCUGAGGUCGUCAGCGCUGCCGCCGUCCUCAGCACUGCCGUUUCUUCCUCUUUCCCGCUUCUUCCUCGAACCCAGGCAGAAUUUGGGUUCUGGCUCUGCUGUGCUGCUGCUGCUUUGUGUUUUUGUAAAAUUUGUAGAUGAUAGUUUGAUUAUUCAGCUCAGGGUUGUGUGUUUUGUGUUUUGUGUUUUGUGUUUUAGAUUACAUAGAAAAAAAAAACCAAUUACUUGAAACACUUGCACACAAACAUGCCCAGAAAAAACAACUGCAAUAUUGAACGAAUUGUUGUUGUGUUAUGUAAUUUUGUGACUUAAUUAUGCUCAGAUUUUGUUACAAAAUCUCUCCUACUCAUCCCUUUUGUCCUCAUCAGAAUGCAUAACAUGUUGCCUGUACAUAGUGUUUUUAGUCCUCUAACCUGAGUGCCUAGCUUUGGCACUGGUUCCCUAAAUAGAGUAUUUGGUGAUCAAUUUGUAUGUGUGGAAUUUGAGCCACCUUGUACCAUUCCUCCCCACUAUUUGGUUUAAAAGUCUUGGAGUCAGCAAAGGGCAUUCUUGGACACAAAGUUGAUUAAGGGAGGAAGGAAGUUCUUCAUCAGGCAAGGAAUAAAGGACGUCACAGCAAUGAAUUUCAAGUGUAUGAAGAGCAUUCAGAUAUUGGAACCUCUGUAGUUUAGCUUCUUGAGACACUUCAAUGUGCUUAUGGGCAGUGAGUGAGCUUAUAUUGGGAGGAAGUAUCAUGUCCUCUGAAAAUGAAUCCACCAUCGGCAUGAUUUCUAAAUCAAAAUCCCAACUCUCUCAGCGAAUUGAAUCGAAUCAACCAGGCCUUCCUCUUCUUUUUCUUUUAGUUGAUUCUUAAUUUUUCUAAUAGAUGUAACUUUCUGAAUCAAGUGGAUCAGAUCAUGUACCUUUUUUAUUUGGGAUAUUUUAGGAGACGCAUUAGAAGAGCUAUUUUGUUAUUAUGUUUGCUAUAAUAAUAUUCACAUGUUGUAUA